ensembl:lncRNA
AUUUACUCCCCAGCCGCAGAGCGCCAGGCAGAGGGAGUCUAUUAAAGGGACAGUGUCCCGCCGGGAGCGGGGCGGGGCGCGGACCCCGGCGUGCCGCCCGCCCAGCCUUGCGCCCCGCUCGCCGGCGCUGCGACGCGCCCCCCGGGCCUCGGGGACGCCCCUCGGGGGAGCGCUGCGGAAGGACGCGCUGGGGGCAGGGGGAUGGAAGGAGGAGCCCCGGGCGCCAGGUAGACACACGGAGAUGUGGACUGACUCACUGGCCACCCAGAAAUGAAAUCCAAUAACAACAAAAUAACAGUUACACUGAUUGUAGGUGUCAUGUACUGAGUGCAUAUGAAGCUCCAGACACUGCACUGAGUACUUUACAUGCAAGACCUGUUGAAUUUAAUCCUUCAAACAACCUUGGGGGCCAAGUAAUACGACUCUCCUUUCACGUAUAAGGAGACUCAGCGUGGAUAGCUUAAGCCAAUGGUUCUCAAUGGUCAGCUUUGCAUUGGAAUUGCCUGCAGGGCUUGAUAAAACUCCGAUUAUUGACUCCUUUCCCUGGAGUAUUUGAUUCCGUAGGUCUGGUGUGUGG